rnacentral:rRNA from 1 species
UACAGAGGGGGCAAGCGUUGUUCGGAAUUACUGGGCGUAAAGGGCUCGUAGGCGGCCAACUAAGUCCGACGUGAAAUCCCCAGGCUCAACCUGGGAACUGCGUCGGAUACUGGAUGGCUUGAAUCCGGGAGAGGGAUGCGGAAUUCCAGGUGUAGCGGUGAAAUGCGUAGAUAUCUGGAGGAACACCGGUGGCGAAGGCGGCAUCCUGGACCGGCAUUGACGCUGAGGAGCGAAAGCCAGGGGAGCAAACGGG